UACGUAGGUGGCAAGCGUUGUCCGGAAUCAUUGGGCGUAAAGCGCGCGUAGGCGGCCUCAUAAGUCCGUUGUGAAAGUCAAAGGCUCAACCUUUGAAAGCCGAUGGAUACUGUGAGGCUAGAGUCCGGAAGAGGCGAGUGGAAUUCCUGGUGUAGCGGUGGAAUGCGCAGAUAUCAGGAGGAACACCAAUAGCGAAGGCAGCUCGCUGGGACGGUACUGACGCUAAGGCGCGAAAGCGUGGGGAGCGAACAGG
rnacentral:rRNA from 1 species